rnacentral:rRNA from 1 species
GGGUUGUGAGGUUAAGCGACUAAGCGUACACGGUGGAUGCCCUGGCAGUCAGAGGCGAUGAAGGRCGUGCUAAUCUGCGAUAAGCGCCGGUAAGGUGAUAUGAACCGUUAUAACCGGCGAUWYCCGAAUGGGGAAACCCAGUGUGACUCGUCACACUAUCAUUAACUGAAUCCAUAGGUUAAUGAGGCGAACCGGGGGAACUGAAACAUCUAAGUACCCCGAGGAAAAGAAAUCAACCGAGAUUCCCCCAGUAGCGGCGAGCGAACGGGGAGGAGCCCAGAGCCUGAAUCAGCAUGUGUGUUAGUGGAAGCGUCUGGAAAGGCGCGCGAUACAGGGUGACAGCCCCGUACACAAAAGCGCAUGUGCUGUGAG